GUUGGAGCAUUGAGCGACGAGAAGAAGACUGACAUAACGACUUAAAAAAAAGGCGCGGAUCACAGACGGGUGACUAGUUGUUGAUGCAAUGACACUGAUGGAAGAACUUUUAAAACAUAUUAGGCGUUCAAAUAAACACAACAGCAGAAGGAAAAUUGUGAAAUGGACGCAGAAACGUGGUAUCCUGACGACGACGAUGAAGUGCGCAAAAUGCAACCGUCCAUGCAUCUGGUGAAAUGCCAUGUCAAGGAUGGGCUGUGGUGAUUUGCCCAAGAUUUGCAGUUGAAGCAACUUGCCAUGAUCAGUGACAGGAUAGCAGCAAGCUCCAGGACAUUGACAAGAAUGGCAAAAGUACUCCGAAAGGUGUGCAUUGCUGCUGUCAAGCGACUAAGAAAAAGAUGUAUGAGGAUUGGUGGUCGUCAUCGAUUUGUUGUUAUUGACGAGAGCAAAUUUGCCCACAAACGAAAGUACCAUCGUGGUCGAUGUGGCAACGCUUGGCGCCGUGAACGGCAGUGGGUCUUUGGGAUGUUGGAGGUCGACAGGAAGUCCAGAAGACCCAUUCUGAGACUCGUCAGGGAUCGCAGAAGGAAGACACUUAUAGGUCAUAUUAGACGCCAUGUCAGACCCAGAACAUCCAUCCUCAGUGAUGAAUGGCGUACCUACAAAGGGCAACUUGCCCAGUAUGGGUAUGAUCAUUAUUCGGUCUGCCAUAAAAACAACUUUAUGGACCGAGAGACUGGUGCUCAUACUCAGCAUAUUGAGCGUGCAUGGCAAAGCUACAAGCCGGAAGUAUGGCGUCACAGAGGGAAUCGUACUCCUGAAUCACUCAAGCUUCAUCUUAAGAUGAUAGAGUGGAACCACUGGUUGGGUGUACACCAUUACAAUGGUGUGUUGGGCAGACUUUUCCAUGAUGUGAAAAAACAAGUAAAAGUAAAAAAAAAAAAAAAAUCUCUACAAUGUCUGCUGGCAUUUAUGCAUCUAUGUUGUUAAACUCAUUAUAUGUUCUCCUGAGCAGAUCCUUGCUUGUGUUUUACAAACUGUCACUGGAUGAACAUCACAACAAAAUGUUUUGUUUUGAAAUACAUAAAGGAAAAACUAUCUCUUGA